CUACGGGACGCAGCAGUCGAGAAUCAUUCACCAUGGGGGAAACCCUGAUGGUGCGACGCCGCGUGGGGGAAUGAAGGUCUUCGGAUUGUAAACCCCUGUCAUGUGGGAGCAAAUUAAAAAGAUAGUACCACAAGAGGAAGAGACGGCUAACUCUGUGCCAGCAGCCGCGGUAAUACAGAGGUCUCAAGCGUUGUUCGGAAUCACUGGGCGUAAAGCGUGUGUAGGCUGUUUCGUAAGUCGUGUGUGGAAGGCGCGGGCUCAACCCGCGGACGGCACAUGAUACUGCGAGACUAGAGUAAUGGAGG
rnacentral:rRNA from 1 species